rnacentral:rRNA from 1 species
GUGAAAAAGAACCUGAAACCGUGUACGUACAAGCAGUGGGAGCACGCUUAGGCGUGUGACUGCGUACCUUUUGUAUAAUGGGUCAGCGACUUAUAUUCUGUAGCAAGGUUAACCGAAUAGGGGAGCCGAAGGGAAACCGAGUCUUAACUGGGCGUUAAGUUGCAGGGUAUAGACCCGAAACCCGGUGAUCUAGCCAUGGGCAGGUUGAAGGUUGGGUAACACUAACUGGAGGACCGAACCGACUAAUGUUGAAAAAUUAGCGGAUGACUUGUGGCUGGGGGUGAAAGGCCAAUCAAACCGGGAGAUAGCUGGUUCUCCCCGAAAGCUAUUUAGGUAGCGCCUCGUGAAUUCAUCUCCGGGGGUAGAGCACUGUUUCGGCAAGGGGGUCAUCCCGACUUACCAACCCGAUGCAAACUGCGAAUACCGGAGAAUGUUAUCACGGGAGACACACGGCGGGUGCUAACGUCCGUCGUGAAGAGGGAAACAACCCAGACCGCCAGCUAAGGUCCCAAAGUCAUGGUUAAGUGGGAAACGAUGUGGGAAGGCCCAGACAGCCAGGAUGUUGGCUUAGAAGCAGCCAUCAUUUAAAGAAAGCGUAAUAGCUCACUGGUCGAGUCGGCCUGCGCGGAAGAUGUAACGGGGCUAAACCAUGCAC